ACACGAAAUCGUACCCCAAACCGACACAGGUGGUCAGGUAGAGAAUACCAAGGCGCUUGAGAGAACUCGGGUGAAGGAACUAGGCAAAAUGGUGCCGUAACUUCGGGAGAAGGCACGCUGAUGUGUAGGUGAAGCCCCUGCGGGUGGAGCUGAAAUCAGUCGAAGAUACCAGCUGGCUGCAACUGUUUAUUAAAAACACAGCACUGUGCAAACACGAAAGUGGACGUAUACGGUGUGACGCCUGCCCGGUGCCGGAAGGUUAAUUGAUGGGG
rnacentral:rRNA from 1 species